AACGAACGCUGGCGGCAGGCCUAACACAUGCAAGUCGAGCGCGCCCUUCGGGGCGUGCGGCGGACGGGGGGGUAACGCGUGGGAACGUGCCCUUUUCUACGCUAUAGCCUCGGGAAACUGAGCGUAAUACCGUAUACGCCAUUUCCGGGUACGAUCUACAGGUCAAGGAUCGGCCCGCGUUGGAUUAGGUAGUUGGUGGGGUAAUGGCCUACUAAGCUGACAAUCCAUAGCUGGUGUGUGAGGAUGAUCAGCCACUCUGGGACUGUGCCCCGGCCCAGACUCCUACGGGAUGCAGCAGUGGGGAAUCUUAGACAAUGGGGGCGACCAUGAACGAGCCAUGGCGGGUGAAUGAUGAAGGUCUUAGGGUUGUAAAGCUCUUUCGGCUGGGAAGAUGAUGACGGUACCAGCAGAAGAAGCCCCGGCUAACUCCGUG
rnacentral:rRNA from 1 species